UUUGAGGCCACAAUCAUAGAUAUUAUAGACUACGUAACCGGGAUUGGAAACUGAUGACGUCACACGGAUAAUUAUUGUAAUGUGCGCUUUAAUUAGAACAAAGCAACUUUUGCCACCAAAGAUCUUAUUUUCUUGCAGCAAUGGAAUGCUGCUUCUAUAUGGACUCUUUUUACUUAAUGCAGUGGAAUUAUAGUGGUACUAAUUAUUAGGAAUAGUCUUCCGCAAUCCCUUGUUCUUCUGCAGGUUUUUUCCACACAAUUUCUUGUAGGACUCGACCACGGAUGUUGCAAAAGCAAAGCCUCUUAGUGUGACGAACUCUCUGAUUAUUGUUUCAUACAUUUCAUCAACGAGAACACUUCUUCACUUCUAGAAAUUGAUGCUAUAAUCUUCUCCUUGGAGUUUGGAAGACCUUAGUCUCGUGCCCCGCCCCUUCGCUUUUGGAGGAAGGGUCUGGAGACACUCAAGGCUUUUUUGUUGCAUGCUGGAAUGUAAUUAGUGUAGCUGAUCAUAUGACCGGAUGCAUCCACGUGUUAAUUUCACGUGAUAGACACACCCCAAGAACAUGGCUACCA